rnacentral:rRNA from 1 species
AUUGAACGCUGGCGGCAGGCCUAACACACGCAAGUCGAGCGGAGCGGCGGACGGGUGCGUAAUGCCUAGGAAUCUGCCUGGUAGUGGGGGAUAACGUCCGGAAACGGGCGCUAAUACCGCAUACUAUCAGAUGAACCUAGGUCGGAUUUGCUAGUUGGUGGGGUACAGGCCUCCAAAGCCGACGAUCCGUAACUGGUCUGAGAGGAUGAUCAGUCACACUGGAACUGAGACACGGUCCAGACUCCUACGGGAGGCAGCAGUGGGGAAUAUUGGACAAUGGGCGAAAGCCGGAUCCAUCCAUGCCGCGUGUGUGAAGAAGGUCUUCGGAUUGUAAAGCACUUUAAGUUGGGAGGCGUUACCAACAGAAUAAGCACCGGCUAACUUCGUGCCAGCAGCCGCGGUAAUUC